GAAAUUUAUUUCUCUCCAUGUCUCAUUCUUUUUCAUACCACAUUGAGACAGUUUGUCUUUUGUGUUGGUUCUUUUACAAGCCAAUCACAGUGGAUCAGGAGAGUGCAUUGCUUUGACUAUCCAAGAUUGGGUCAUAUGGUCCACCUCCCCAACCCUGUAUUUCGGGAUGAGCCCACCAAAACUGUAUGGAGCAAGAGCUGGGGAGCUGGGAACUGCCAAGUAAAUCUCUUCCUAAUGUCUGCUUACAUGAAAGAUGCUGAGGAAGAAACAAACAUGAAAGAGACCCAGUUUCUGCUCUCAGUUUACAGAGGAGAGGAGAUGAAAUGUGAUUAUAGGCAUGGUCAAUGCUGAAAGAAAGGCAAGAAAAAAUGUCACAAGAUUUCAGAGGAGAGAUGACAUCCAGCUGACAAGAUUAGGAAAUGCUUUGGGGAAACAGAGGUAUUUAAUUUGGGUCUCUAAUUCUAGGUAAGAUUUGUAUGUAUGAAAAGUGGGAUAGAGAAACAGCAGGCACAAAGACAGAGAAGGGAAACAGAGUAUGUAAAAGAAACAGCUAGAAGCUCAGUUGGCCUGAAGUGUAAGGCUGCACAUAUAAGAGCACACGCAAGGGCAGGAGCCUUGGACCCCGGUCAUUUAGUCAUUAAAACUUUUUAAAAGAAUGUAUACGACCGGGCGCAGUGGCUCACACCUGUAAUCCCAGCACUUUGGGAGGCUUGAGUGGGUGGAUCACUUGAGGUCAGGUGUUCAAGACCAGCUUGGCCAAAAUGGUGAAACCCUGUCUCUACUAAACAUAUAAAAAUUAGCUGAGUGAGAUGGUGCCUGACUGUAAUCCCAGCUACAGGGAGGCUGAGGCACAAGAAUGGCUUGACCCAGGAGGCAGAGGCUGCAGUGAGCCAAGAUUGCACCACCACUGCAUGCCAGCCUGGGUAACACAGCAAGACCUUAUCUCAGGAAAAAAAAAAUGUGUAUAGCCAUAGCAAAAAAGGAAAUGCUGGGUAUUGUGCAGUGUGGAGUUUUUGGAGUAUAAUACCAUUCCAAUGUUUGUCAAUUCUGCUUAUGGGUUUUUGUUGUUGUUAUUGUUCUUAUAAAUCUUUUCCUCUCCAUUCUUACAGUGUCCUGUUUGUCCUCAAUUUUCUCAAUUUAAAAAUACUGGAUUAGGAAUUCCUGCAUUUUCUUGACCUAACGAGCAAUUUGGCUAUGUCCAAAUUGCAGGCUGCCAUUUAUUGCCCUAUUUUACUAAGAGUUAGUAGUGAAACUGUCUUAAAACACACUGUCGAGCAGCUCUCAACUAUCUCUGAAGUGACACUUAGUCUCCUGGGCUUAAAGGCGAGCAAUGACAUGGUCCUUCUGCCUCUGGCUUUUGGGGCAGCCUGCGACCCUUGAAAAGGUUUCCAGUUAUUUGGAGGGAUGUGUAAUUCUCUCAAUCUAGAAGGCCAGAUUUCCCCUUUGCCCGAGCACUGGAAACAAACAAUUGGCUAAUGUGACAGCCUCCUCACUCAUCCUAGAAGUAAUUGUAUCAAUUUGACUUUGUGGCCUGGAGGUGGGGGAUGUGAGAGUCUAAUAGGAUUUAAACUCCAAUUCUUUUCAGCUGCUGGCUAGGAUUGGUGAAUGGAGAUAAAUAGAACCCCUUUGCUAUUUUUAUAAAUUCCAGCUUUGAUGUAGGCUUAGAUUUGAAACAUCUGAAAUUUCUCCAGAGAUGACAUAUAAAAACUACAGGGAAAAGGUACAGAAAACCUACCUUGAGUUAAAGAGUUUGUCUCUGUUUCUCUUCUAGACAGUGUUUGGGGAAAUGAUCUCUAUACGGUUUUAUUAUUACUGAUCACUCUGUACUCCUUCUUGAGCAUUUGUCAACAAAUUGCUCCAAUAAAAGUACUUGUAAUAAAU
rnacentral:lncRNA from 1 species